UGGGAGCUCCCAGCUCUCUGCUCAGACAGGGCUGAGGUCUCUGGGAAGGCAGGUGUGGUCUAGAAGAUGAGGCUGCUGGGUCUUGUCCUGUGCCUGGUCACAGCUCUCCAAGGUGUCCUGUGCCAGGUGCAGCUACAGGAGUCAGGACCUGGCCUGGUGAAGCCCUCACAGACCCUGUCCCUCACCUGUGCUGUCUCUGGAUUCUCCAUCACAACCAGUGGUUACUACUGGAACUGGAUCCGUCAGUCCCCAGGGAAGGGUUUGGAGUACAUAGGGUACAUACAUAGUGGUGGUAGCACUAACUACAACCCAUCUCUCAAGAGCCGAGUGUCCAUCUCCAGAGACACAUCCAAGAACCAGUUCUCCCUGCAGCUGAGCUCCCUGACCACUGAGGACACAGCCACCUAUUACUGUGCCAGAGACACAGUGAGGGGACCUCAGUGUGAGCCCAGACACAAACCUCCCUGCUGCUCACCCAGGGCCAGCAGGGUGCACUCAGCACACAGGAGUCAGGUCAGCCCAGAAGCAGCUGCAGAUGUGACUUGGGGCAGGUUUCCUCCUUCUGGAGGCCUGUCUAAGUACCACCUUCCCAGGGAUCUCUGUGGCCUUGUGGUCUCUACUUAUCUCUGAUGUGUCUGAAGAUAAUCAUUCUGUUUUUGUCAUGUUCUUUUUCUUUUGAAAUAGUGCAUCUUACAUAUAUUUAUUAUAGGUUUUCACUUUGACAUAGUCACAUAUAUUCAUUGUUCAUAAAACGUCUGUUGCUCUCACA